AGGAUGUGACAUUGAUAUAUGAUGCCUACAUAUGAAGUAGUACCCUCAAAGGGCACAGAUUGCAUUGGGAGCAAAAGUAUCAGUUGUGACAAAAGGAGUGAGCACACCGUGUCCCUCUGAGGCAACAUCAAAGACAUGAGACAUGCAGACAACAGGAGCACCUGUUAGAAGCCUGGAAAAUGAUUUCACCAAAGAGCUAUAUAAAUGUGAUCAGACCAAAAGUAUCCAAGGAACUUAAUUCCUAGGAAAAAAACCCAAAGACAGGAUCUCCAUAUGUAGUUCAGGCUGGUCUUGAACUUG